rnacentral:rRNA from 1 species
GAGUUUGAUCCUGGCUCAGAUUGAACGCUGGCGGCAGGCCUAACACAUGCAAGUCGAGCGGUAGAGAGAAGCUUGCUUCUCUUGAGAGCGGCGGACGGGUGAGUAAUGCCUAGGAAUCUGCCUGGUAGUGGGGGAUAACGCUCGGAAACGGACGCUAAUACCGCAUACGUCCUACGGGAGAAAGCAGGGGACCUUCGGGCCUUGCGCUAUCAGAUGAGCCUAGGUCGGAUUAGCUAGUUGGUGAGGUAAUGGCUCACCAAGGCGACGAUCCGUAACUGGUCUGAGAGGAUGAUCAGUCACACUGGAACUGAGACACGGUCCAGACUCCUACGGGAGGCAGCAGUGGGGAAUAUUGGACAAUGGGCGAAAGCCUGAUCCAGCCAUGCCGCGUGUGUGAAGAAGGUCUUCGGAUUGUAAAGCACUUUAAGUUGGGAGGAAGGGCAGUAAAUUAAUAACUUUGCUGUUUUGACGUUUACCGACAGAAUAAGCACCGGCU